AGAGUUUGAUCCUGGCUCAGGAUGAACGCUGGCGGCGUGCUUAACACAUGCAAGUCGAACGAACCUUCGGGUUAGUGGCGGACGGGUGAGUAACGCGUGAGAAUCUGCCCUCAGGAGGGGGACAACAGUUGGAAACGACUGCUAAUACCCCAUAUGCCGCGAGGUGAAAUGAAUUUCGCCUGAGGAUGAGCUCGCGUCUGAUUAGCUAGUUGGUGUAGGUAAUGGCUCACCAAGGCAUCGAUCAGUAGCUGGUCUGAGAGGAUGAUCAGCCACACUGGGACUGAGACACGGCCCAGACUCCUACGGGAGGCAGCAGUGGGGAAUUUUCCGCAAUGGGCGAAAGCCUGACGGAGCAACGCCGCGUGAGGGAUGAAGGCCUCUGGGCUGUAAACCUCUUUUAUCAAGGAAGAAGAUCUGACGGUACUUGAUGAAUAAGCCACGGCUAAUUCCGUGCCAGCAGCCGCGGUAAUACGGGAGUGGCAAGCGUUAUCCGGAAUUAUUGGGCGUAAAGCGUCCGCAGGCGGCCCUUCAAGUCUGCUGUUAAAAAGUGGAGCUUAACUCCAUCAUGGCAGUGGAAACUGUUGGGCUUGAGUGUGGUAGGGGCAGAGGGAAUUCCCGGUGUAGCGGUGAAAUGCGUAGAUAUCGGGAAGAACACCAGUGGCGAAGGCGCUCUGCUGGGCCAUCACUGACGCUCAUGGACGAAAGCCAGGGGAGCGAAAGGGAUUAGAUACCCCUGUAGUCCUGGCCGUAAACGAUGAACACUAGGUGUCGGGGGAAUCGACCCCCUCGGUGUCGUAGCCAACGCGUUAAGUGUUCCGCCUGGGGAGUACGCACGCAAGUGUGAAACUCAAAGGAAUUGACGGGGGCCCGCACAAGCGGUGGAGUAUGUGGUUUAAUUCGAUGCAACGCGAAGAACCUUACCAGGGUUUGACAUCCUGCGAAUCUCUUGGAAACGAGAGAGUGCCUUCGGGAACGCAGUGACAGGUGGUGCAUGGCUGUCGUCAGCUCGUGUCGUGAGAUGUUGGGUUAAGUCCCGCAACGAGCGCAACCCACGUCUUUAGUUGCCAGCAUUUAGUUGGGCACUCUAGAGAGACCGCCGGUGAUAAACCGGAGGAAGGUGUGGAUGACGUCAAGUCAUCAUGCCCCUUACAUCCUGGGCUACACACGUACUACAAUGCUACGGACAAAGGGCAGCAAGUUCGCGAGGACAAGCAAAUCCCAUAAACCGUGGCUCAGUUCAGAUCGUAGGCUGCAACUCGCCUACGUGAAGGAGGAAUCGCUAGUAAUCGCAGGUCAGCAUACUGCGGUGAAUACGUUCCCGGGCCUUGUACACACCGCCCGUCACACCAUGGAAGUUGGCCACGCCCGAAGCCGUUACUCCAACCCUUGUGGAGGAGGACGUCGAAGGUGGGGCUGAUGACUGGGGUGAAGUCGUAACAAGGUAUCCGUACCGGAAGGUGCGGAUG
rnacentral:rRNA from 1 species